rnacentral:rRNA from 1 species
GACGUAGGGCGCGAGCGUUGUCCGGAUUUAUUGGGCGUAAAGAGCUCGUAGGCGGCUCGUUGCGUCGGCUGUGAAAACCCGGAGGCUCAACCUCGGGCCUGCAGUCGAUACGGGCAAACUAGAGUACUGCAGGGGAGACUGGAAUUCCUGGUGUAGCGGUGAAAUGCGCAGAUAUCAGGAGGAACACCGGUGGCGAAGGCGGGUCUCUGGGCAGUAACUGACGCUGAGGAGCGAAAGCGUGGGGAGCGAACCGG